CCUCCGUCAAGUUGAGUCUCCACCCUCGACUCUCUCCUAGGCCGCUGCUGCCUAUCAUAGGUGAGUCGGAGGCAGACAUUAAUAUAAACAACCCCCCGAGGGGUCCCGGUUGCACUCCUGUCACCCACCCCCUAAGGUUUCGGUAGGGGGGAUGUCACAGCCAAAUGGGCCACAUUGGAGCCGUGUCGUGGGGGGACAGGUGACCGCUAGGCUUGGACCGCCAGCUUCCCCCUCCCGGCUCCCUACUCUUCCCACCCUGGCACUUGGAUCUGCACCCUUUAUUCACCCCGUCCUCAGCCCCCCAGCACGUGCGUACAGAUCUGUCGUUUAUUUUCAAAGUCUGUCUCCCCCUGUAGACUAAGCUCCUCGAAGGCAGCGGACGUGUCUCCCAGCCGUCACGUCGUCCCCUCCCGGGCGCUCAGCGCAGCCCUCCGCACGCAUAUUCUGAAGUUGGCUGUCAUCGGAGAAAAAAAUGGAGCUAAACAGCGGAGACGUUAAGUGAUUGCAACACAGCACCCCAGGAGCCUGAACAAGAAAGAACAAACACUGAGUUGGAUCCUGUUGGAAAAAGCCAGGAACCUUUUUACAUCAGUAGCCCUGGACCUUAAAGCUCAUCCUCCAGAUUGUAAGCUCACUGUGGGCAGGCUCUGUGUCUAAAAUAGUGUUGUGUUUUACUGCCCCGAACAGUACAGUGCUCUGCACACAGUAAGCGCUCAAGAAAUACCACUGAUGAUAAGCGAAUAAAUGUUAUAGGGAGA